AGAAUUAGAGGUCUCUCUCUUUUCGACGGCUCUUUUUUCGCUCUGCCCUCUCUCCUCCCUUCCCCUGAUUUUCUAUUCCAAAAUGUCAUGCGAGUAAUUCUCUUUUGUGAUUCUUCCCAAGCUAGGAAGGGAGUAGAAUGAUGGGGAUGUUUCUGAUACAAGCUAAUUCAAUAGGUCGAUUGAUUGAUUGUAAAACUGAUUGAAAUUUUUUAUUGCUGGUUCUACAUCUCGCUUUCAGUAAUUUUCAUCAUCCAUACUUUUCAUCAUUUUUGAUUGCAUCUCAUCAUUUUUAUCCUCAUAACCAUGUCUGCAUACUUUUCUCCAAUUAUCUUUGCAAUCUCAUUACAUUUCCAGAACUUUGUUUUUUAUUUUAAAUUUGUUAUUUUUCUUAGCAUAUUUUUAUCUUUCUUCCUCGAUCUUUGAUGCUUAGUCCAAUGAAUUAAUCCUGUUAAUAUAAACGGUCGUGCAAGAUCUUAAACCAACGGGAAUAAUUUCUAAGUUUUUGUUUCUCAUCUCUAAUCUCUCAUCAUCUGGUCUUUUCAGAUUUAUUCAAUUAGAUUCUUAUUCAGCCUUUACAUAAUCUCUAUUUCUAUCUUUUUGAUCUUCCUUUCUCCGGCUCAUAAUUCUCAUCUUCCUCUCCUUUUAUGUGUCAUGUGAUCUACUUCAUUGAUUUCUUGAUAGCUAUUCGUAAUUUCUUCUCUAAUUUUUCUUUAGCCUGUAUCUGAAUCAAAAUAGGUCUUGAGAAAAUUAAGCAAAAAAAAAAAAAGAUUUUUAGGAUUUUUUUUUUUUUACAAGACCUCUGCUUUCCUAAGUUUAACAAAAUACUUGUUAUUUAAAUCUACCUGUUCUACUUUCCAAAAUCUUGUCAACUUUCCUGCUUAGGAGGGUACUGAUCUUCUUUCGCUAUAACAUUUUUCAUAAUCUAAGCCUGGUAGAAACUCACUUUUGAGAAUCACAAUAGAAACAAGUUCAUGCCUUGUCAUCUUAGUCUGAUUUCGACUAAUAAUCUUCACCUGAUUAGGAUGCAUAAUUUUCUUUUCUCUUCAUCCUUCACAUAGGUAAUAAUGUACCCGAUGUAUUUGUCCUUUUCGGCAUCCUUUGACUCCUGUAGAAGAAACCAAAACGUUGUCUGAAACCUGUUGAUGAUUACACUCCUUAUUUUCCCUUCUUGCUAAUUUUCUUGAUGAGAGAGAGUUAAAGUACGCAAACAAUAGAAAAUAUUUUCCGUUCUACCUCUUUUUUACACCCUAGCACAUUUAUAGUAUGUUCAUUUCCAAUUUCUAUGCGCCCUAAGUUUCUUAAGAUUGAUUUCCAAUCCUCUUAAUCUCUCCUCGCUUAACUGUCCAGAAAUCUUCUCCAAUCCGUUAGUCUGCUACCCUGCUUUGUCGUAUACUUUUCUCUCCUCAAGUCUCCUAUUUAUUCAAUUAUUUUAUAACCAUUUGAAAAUUUUGCUAGGUCUUGACCUAUCAUGUCUUUAACUCCUUUUCAAAAUAGUUGUAUCCCCCAAAUUGUCGUAGUGUCUCAUCUAAGUCAGUGAUUGCUUCCUCACACAAAGAAAACUCGUAUCUUAAAUUGUUUUUUUCCUUUUUUUAUAGUUGUGCUUCUCAGUCACCUAUCAUAUGCAUGGCUGAAAUUUAUUGGACACCUUGUUUGUCUCCCUUCUAUAGUUAGGUACCUCGCUCACGGGUGUGCAUUUUAGUAUUCCUAAUUGCAUCUCAUAAUAUUUAGAAAUUGCAUCUUGCAUAUCAGACCGAUCUGAUCUAACUUUCGAACCUUCUCGAUCCGGCUGAGUCAACUAUCAAUCCGGAUUCUGGUUUGCUACAACAUUCAGCGUUCUCGGGUUUAUUUCCAACGGAUUCUCUCCCUUUCUAGAAUGAUGAUUAUCCUUCUCAUCUUACGAAAUUAAAAAUGAAUCAUUUGGAUUCCAAUCUUCUGCAGUUCUUCCCCUUCUCUUCUAACCCUGGCUUCUGAUUAUCUAUAAUUUUGCAUCAUCCUCAUCAUCUGGUAACUAUAAAGUCACUCAGUCAAUAUUUCAAAUCAAUCAAUUCGGAUCAAAUCUUAUAGAGCAAGGAAAUGAAUCAGAAUCAUAACCCCCAUCUCGUUCUCAAUAUCUCCUUCUCCGAAGCGACGGGAAGAAUUAAAGGCUUCCGUUAACUCAAAUGCAAUGUUUCCGUCUUCACCAGCUGCCAAUGUUUCUGAAGCUGGCACGGCCACUGCACCAGCUCCUAAGAAGCGUAAACAAACUUCAUGGGUAUGGGAACACCUUGAAAAAGACCCUCAACCUUCAAUAUUGGCACCGUGUAAGAUGUGUAAACUGAGACUUAAAGCUGGCAUGAAAAAGAAUGUGACUAGAUCCUUGAUUACCCAUUUGAAGAAAUGUAAACUUGAGAGGAGAUUCAAGGUACCAUCUCGUGUCACUAUACGACGAGAUGUUAUAGAAUUGUUUGCAUAUGAGAAAAAGAGAUUGAAAAACAAAUCUGGAGGUGCAAAUGCAGAAAUUGAAUCUCGAGUUUAAUUUGGAUUUUGAAUUUGUAAUAUUUAUGUUUUGUAUUUUGUCUUAAUCACAUAUAAAAUAUGUGAACUUAGAAUGUUUAUGAAUUUAGAAUGUGUAUGGAAUGUGAAUGUCUGCAGACUGUAAGUGGAUUAAAAAUUU